GAUGAACGCUGGCGGCGUGCUUAACACAUGCAAGUCGAACGGUGAACACGGAGCUUGCUCUGUGGGAUCAGUGGCGAACGGGUGAGUAACACGUGAGCAACCUGCCCCUGACUCUGGGAUAAGCGCUGGAAACGGCGUCUAAUACUGGAUAUGUGACGUGACCGCAUGGUCUGCGUUUGGAAAGAUUUUUCGGUUGGGAUGGGCUCGCGGCCUAUCAGCUUGUUGGUGAGGUAAUGGCUCACCAAGGCGUCGACGGGUAGCCGGCCUGAGAGGGUGACCGGCCACACUGGGAUUGAGACACGGCCCAGACUCCUACGGGAGGCAGCAGUGGGGAAUAUUGCACAAUGGGCGAAAGCCUGAUGCAGCAACGCCGCGUGAGGGAUGACGGCCUUCGGGUUGUAAACCUUUUUUAGCAGGGAAGAAGCGAAAGUGACGGUACCUGCAGAAAAAGCGCCGGCUAACUACGUG
rnacentral:rRNA from 1 species